CUAGAACUAACUAGAACUAGAACUAGAGGAACUAGAACUAGAACUAGAUGAACUAGAACUAGAUCUAGAUGAACUAGAAGUAGAACUAGAAGAACUAGAGGGAUCCUCUCUACUUGGAUGAAGAAUUGAAACCCUAACUUUGAUUCUGUAGAAGAGGUAUGCCUCCAGGGGCUGGUGGGGGUCUGGUUUUAUAGUCCCUUCAAGUGAAUCUGGGCCGUCGGAUCAAACCGACAUUGAUCGUGUGGUUUUCCUUGAAGUAUU
rnacentral:lncRNA from 1 species